rnacentral:lncRNA from 1 species
CUAUCUAAUGUGGUUGGCAAACCUUCAAAUCAAGAUGGACUAGUGAAAGAAUCUGGUAUUUCUAUCACCCUUUCUGAUCUACUGCAUCCCAGACUUUUACCUCCACAAAAUCUCCUACUGUCUCAGUGAAGAAUAGUGCUCUAAGAGAUUAUGAAGAAGCUCCCUCAAGUCAGGAUCCUGAAGACACUCCUCCUGAUCCUCUCUCCUUUGUAACUCUGUAAUAUUCACCUCCACCCCCUC